rnacentral:rRNA from 1 species
UACAGGGGGUGCAAACGUUGCUCGGAAUUAUUGGGCGUAAAGCGCGCGUAGGCGGCCACUUAAGUCGGAUGUGAAAGCCCCUGGCUCAACUGGGGAAGUGCACCCGAAACUGAAUGGCUUGAAUGCAAAAGAGGGUCGCGGAAUUCCCGGUGUAGAGGUGAAAUUCGUAGAUAUCGGGAGGAACACCGGUGGCGAAGGCGGCGACCUGGGUUGACAUUGACGCUGAGGAGCGAAAGCGUGGGGAGCGAACAGG